rnacentral:rRNA from 1 species
UACGGGGGGAGCAAGCGUUGUUCGGAUUUACUGGGCGUAAAGGGCGCGUAGGCGGGUUCGCAAGUCUGUGGUGAAAGCCUCCAGCUUAACUGGAGAACUGCCUCGGAUACUGGAAGUCUCGAGGAGGGUAGGGGCAAGUGGAACCGUGGGUGGAGCGGUGAAAUGCGUUGAUAUCCAUGGGAACUCCGGUGGCGAAGGCGACUUGCUGGACCCUUUCUGACGCUGAGGCUCGAAAGCCAGGGGAGCAAACGGG